rnacentral:rRNA from 1 species
AACGAACGCUGGCGGCAGGCCUAACACAUGCAAGUCGAACGCCCCUUUCGGGGGGAGUGGCAGACGGGAGAGUAUCGCGUGGGAACGUGCCCUUCGGUUCGGAAUAACUCAGGGAAACUUGAGCUAAUACCGGAUACGCCCUUUGGGGGAAAGAUUUAUUGCCGAAGGAUCGGCCCGCGUCCGAUUAGCUAGUUGGUGAGGUAACGGCUCACCAAGGCGACGAUCGGUAGCUGGUCUGAGAGGAUGAUCAGCCACACUGGGACUGAGACACGGCCCAGACUCCUACGGGAGGCAGCAGUGGGGAAUAUUGGACAAUGGGCGCAAGCCUGAUCCAGCCAUGCCGCGUGAGUGGUGAAGGCCCUAGGGUUGUAAAGCUCUUUCGCCAGGGACGAUAAUGACGGUACCUGGAUAAGAAGCCCCGGCUAACUUCGUGCCAGCAGCCGCCGUAAUAC